UAGGGAAUCUUCGGCAAUGGACGAAAGUCUGACCGAGCAACGCCGCGUGAGUGAAGAAGGUUUUCGGAUCGUAAAACUCUGUUGUUAGAGAAGAACAAGGACGUUAGUAACUGAACGUCCCCUGACGGUAUCUAACCAGAAAGCCACGGCUAACUACGUGCCAGCAGCCGCUGUAAUACGUAGGUGGCAAGCGUUGUCCGGAUUUAUUGGGCGUAAAGCGAGCGCAGGCGGUUUCUUAAGUCUGAUGUGAAAGCCCCCGGCUCAACCGGGGAGGGUCAUUGGAAACUGGGAGACUUGAGUGCAGAAGAGGAGAGUGGAAUUCCAUGUGUAGCGGUGAAAUGCGUAGAUAUAUGGAGGAACACCAGUGGCGAAGGCGACUCUCUGGUCAGUAACUAACGCUGAGGCUCGAAAGCGUGGGGAGCAAACAGG
rnacentral:rRNA from 1 species